rnacentral:rRNA from 1 species
CGGGACGGGUGAGUAAUGUCUGGGAAACUGCCUGAUGGAGGGGGGUAACUACUGGAAACGGUAGCUAAUACCGCAUAACGUCGCAAGACCAAAGAGGGGGACCUUAGGGCCUCUUGCCAUCGGAUGUGCCCAGAUGGGAUUAGCUAGUAGGUGGGGUAACGGCUCACCUAGGCGACGAUCCCUAGCUGGUCUGAGAGGAUGACCAGCCACACUGGAAUGAGACACGGUCCAG